GUCCCAAGCAGACUCAGCGCUGAGUGCAGAGCGGGAUGUGAGGCUCCAUCUCACCACCUUGAGGUCAUGACCUUGAGGUCAGGAUCUGAACCGAAACCAAGAGUCCCAUGCUUAACCCACUGCGCCACCUAGGCCUCGGGGUUUUUUUUUAACAGUGCUUUCAAGCCCCUUCUGCCCUGUGACACCUCACUUCAGCUGUCAUCCUGCUCAGGGUAAGAGGAAGGCUGCUUCCGUUCUGGGCAGUUUCCAGAACUGUGUGAUAUCUAAUGAGCCUGUCUAGCCUCGCUGAUCGGCAAUCAUGCCUGUGCUGAGAAACUCAGGCCUGGCAAGCUUGCAGGUGAUGAGUUCCUCCAGAAGCAAGACUGAGGGCCGAGCUGUGGAAGGGAAGUUGCUAACCAGUGCCUGGCAGGCCUGCAGGUGGCUCUGAAGCUGGAGGCCACGUGGAUAAUCAUACAAAGUCGUCCUGAACGUCACUGCCCCCCUGUCUGGAGUCGGCUUGGCUCAGUAACAGCUCCCAGCUCAGCGCCCUGCCUUCCUGAAAGCUUGCUUCAUCAGCGGGCACACAGCAAUUCCUGGGAAGAAUCUUCAAGACUUUCAUGUUUCUGGAAACCCAUUAAUCAACUGGAACAGUUUUCCCAAGUGCCAGUGAUAACUUUGUCUCCAUCUGGGGACAGAGAGGAAGUGUCUCCCUUUUGAGAACCUGUGCACGAAGAACAUGUAUCAGAAUGCACCCAAUAUAAUAGAAGCACCGUUUCUUACAGAAGUAAA
rnacentral:lncRNA from 1 species